rnacentral:misc_RNA from 1 species
ACUUUUGGAUUGCACAGUGAAGGUCAAAUUGACUUCUUUAACCUUUUCAAUUUUGAAUAUCUUUUCUGUGAUCUUGGCUAUAUAGGUUUCUUUUUAAGUGCUUAUUAGGUUACAUGUACGCAAAGUAUGAGGGCAGCUGUCCAUUCUGUGGCUUGGCUCUAGGACAAGUCAAAAUAAAAAUAAGAAAAAAAGAAAAGAGGUGAACGAGCUUUGCUAGUUAAAAUUGAAAUAAUGAGGAUAAAGGACUGAAAAUUA